GAUGAACGCUGGCGGCGUGCCUAAUACAUGCAAGUCGAGCGAACAGACGAGGAGCUUGCUCCUCUGACGUUAGCGGCGGACGGGUGAGUAACACGUGGAUAACCUACCUAUAAGACUGGGAUAACUUCGGGAAACCGGAGCUAAUACCGGAUAACAUGUUGAACCGCAUGGUUCAACAGUGAAAGACGGUUUUGCUGUCACUUAUAGAUGGAUCCGCGUCGCAUUAGCUAGUUGGUAAGGUAACGGCGUACCAAGGCAACGAUGCGUAGCCGACCUGAGAGGGUGAUCGGCCACACUGGAACUGAGACACGGUCCAGACUCCUACGGGAGGCAGCAGUAGGGAAUCUUCCGCAAUGGGCGAAAGCCUGACGGAGCAACGCCGCGUGAGUGAAGAAGGUCUUCGGAUCGUAAAACUCUGUUAUUAGGGAAGAACAAAUGUGUAAGUAACUAUGCACGUCUUGACGGUACCUAAUCAGAAAGCCACGGCUAACUACGUG
rnacentral:rRNA from 1 species